rnacentral:rRNA from 1 species
CCCAGACUCCUACGGGAGGCAGCAGUGGGGAAUAUUGCACAAUGGGGGGAACCCUGAUGCAGCGACGCCGCGUGGGUGAAGGAGCACCUCGGUGCGUAAAGCCCUAUCGGCAGGGAAGAAACAGACGGUACCUGACUAAGAAGCCCCGGCUAACUACGUGCCAGCAGCCGCGGUAAUACGUAGGGGGCAAGCGUUAUCCGGAUUUACUGGGUGUAAAGGGAGCGUAGACGGCAUGGCAAGUCAGAUGUGAAAGCCCGGGGCUCAACCCCGGGACUGCAUUUGAAACUGUCAGGCUGGAGUGCGGGAGGGGCAGGCGGAAUUCCUGGUGUAGCGGUGAAAUGCGUAGAUAUCAGGAGGAACACCGGCGGCGAAGGCGGCCUGCUGGACCGCGACUGACGUUGAGGCUCGAAAGCGUGGGGAGCGAACAGGAUUAGAUACCCGAGUA